rnacentral:rRNA from 1 species
AUUGAACGCUGGCGGAAUGCUUUACACAUGCAAGUCGAACGGCAGCACGGGGGCAACCCUGGUGGCGAGUGGCGAACGGGUGAGUAAUACAUCGGAACGUGCCCGGUCGUGGGGGAUAACGUAGCGAAGGUUACGCUAAUACCGCAUACGAUCUGAGGAUGAAAGCGGGGGACCUUCGGGCCUCGCGCGAUCGGAGCGGCCGAUGUCAGAUUAGGUAGUUGGUGGGGUAAAGGCCUACCAAGCCGACGAUCUGUAGCUGGUCUGAGAGGACGACCAGCCACACUGGGACUGAGACACGGCCCAGACUCCUACGGGAGGCAGCAGUGGGGAAUUUUGGACAAUGGGCGCAAGCCUGAUCCAGCCAUUCCGCGUGCAGGACGAAGGCCUUCGGGUUGUAAACUGCUUUUGUAUGGAACGAAAAGGCUCUGGCUAAUACCUGGGGCUCAUGACGGUACCGUAAGAAUAAGCACCGGCUAACUACGUG